rnacentral:rRNA from 1 species
AGGAAAGCAGGGGAUCGCAAGACCUUGCGCUUUUGGAGCGGCCGAUGUCUGAUUAGCUAAUUGGUGAGGUAAAGGCUUACCAAGGCUUCGAUCAGUAGCUGGUCUGAGAGGACGACCAGCCACACUGGGACUGAGACACGGCCCAGACUCCUACGGGAGGCAGCAGUGGGGAAUUUUGGACAAUGGGGGAAACCCUGAUCCAGCCAUGCCGCGUGAGUGAAGAAGGCCUUCGGGUUGUAAAGCUCUUUCAGCCGGAACGAAAAGGUUACGGUUAAUACCCGUGACUAAUGAUGGUACCGGAAGAAGAAGCACCGGCUAACUACGUGCCAGCAGCCGCGGUAAUACGUAGGGUGCGAGCGUUAAUCGGAAUUACUGGGCGUAAAGCGUGCGCAGGCGGUUUUGUAAGUCAGAUGUGAAAUCCCCGGGCUCAACCUGNGAACUGCGUNUGAAACUACAAGGCU